CAAUCCAAAAGGCGUCUUAACAGUUGAAUUCCUGAUGUCGCCUUAUAGGAUCCUUAACUUUCUCCUCUCAUUCUCAUUCCGAUGUGAUAAUUUGUCUAAGUCAAGUCGAACACCAAGCAGUUUGGGAAAAGAUCUCCUCAAAAUAUUCUCAAUGGAACAGCGAUAAGAAAUGAAAACAAGAGUGGAGUACAACACAUAGUCCAUAUAUAUGUAUGCUGGGGGAUGAGAGACAAAAAAGGAAAGAACUAAGAAUCAAAAGGGUGUUUGAUAAUUGAAGAUAUGAAUAGGAAAUUUUGAGUUGACGAAUUCGAAACUGGAGGAGGUGGAAGGUGAGUCUACCAACUGAAGCAUUAGCUACGAGUUGUAGUAGUUUAUUGUCAAAUGG
rnacentral:lncRNA from 1 species